rnacentral:rRNA from 1 species
AUUGAACGCUGGCGGCAUGCCUAACACAUGCAAGUCGAACGGCAGCGCGGGGGCAACCCUGGCGGCGAGUGGCGGACGGGUGAGGAAUACAUCGGAAUCUACCUUCUGGUGGGGGAUAACUAGCCGAAAGGCUGGCUAAUACCGCAUAAGACCGAGAGGUGAAAGCGGGGGACCGAAAGGCCUCGCGCGAGAAGAUGAGCCGAUGUCCGAUUAGCUAGUUGGCGGGGUAAGAGCCCACCAAGGCGACGAUCGGUAGCUGGUCUGAGAGGAUGAUCAGCCACACUGGGACUGAGACACGGCCCAGACUCCUACGGGAGGCAGCAGUGGGGAAUAUUGGACAAUGGGCGCAAGCCUGAUCCAGCAAUGCCGCGUGUGUGAAGAAGGCCUCGGUUGUAAGCACUUAUCGGUAGCGAAAGACGGACCGGCCGUAA